UGGGGAAUAUUGCACAAUGGGCGCAAGCCUGAUGCAGCCAUGCCGCGUGUGUGAAGAAGGCCUUCGGGUUGUAAAGCACUUUCAGCGAGGAGGAAGGUGGUGAGCUUAAUACGCUCAUCAAUUGACGUUACUCGCAGAAGAAGCACCGGCUAACUCCGUGCCAGCAGCCGCGGUAAUACGGAGGGUGCAAGCGUUAAUCGGAAUUACUGGGCGUAAAGCGCACGCAGGCGGUUUGUUAAGUCAGAUGUGAAAUCCCCGGGCUCAACCUGGGAACUGCAUUUGAAACUGGCAAGCUAGAGUCUCGUAGAGGGGGGUAGAAUUCCAGGUGUAGCGGUGAAAUGCGUAGAGAUCUGGAGGAAUACCGGUGGCGAAGGCGGCCCCCUGGACGAAGACUGACGCUCAGGUGCGAAAGCGUGGGGCAGCAAACAGGAUUAGAUACCCUGGUAGUCCACGCUGUAAACGAUGUCGAUUUUGGAGGUUGUGCCCUUGAGGCGUGGCUUCCGGAGCUAACGCGUUAAAUCGACCGCCUGGGGAGUACGGCCGCAAGGUUAAAACUUAAAUGAAUUGCGGGUCUAGCUGUUCC
rnacentral:rRNA from 1 species